UAAUACGAAGGGGGCUAGCGUUGCUCGGAAUUACUGGGCGUAAAGGGCGCGUAGGCGGCGCAUCAAGUCAGGCGUGAAAUUCCUGGGCUCAACCUGGGGGCUGCGCUUGAGACUGGUGUGCUUGAGGAUGGAAGAGGCUCGUGGAAUUCCCAGUGUAGAGGUGAAAUUCGUAGAUAUUGGGAAGAACACCGGUGGCGAAGGCGGCGAGCUGGUCCAUUUCUGACGCUGAGGCGCGAUAGCGUGGGGAGCAAACAGGAUUAGAUACCCUGGUAGUCCACGCCGUAAACGAUGUGCGCUGGAUGUUGGGUGACCUAGUCACUCAGUGUCGUAGCCAACGCGGUAAGCGCACCGCCUGGGGAGUACGGCCGCAAGGUUGAA
rnacentral:rRNA from 1 species